rnacentral:rRNA from 1 species
CCCUUAGAUGUUCUGGGCCGCACGCGUGCUACACUGAGUGGAUCAGCGGGUCAGGUUGCGCGAAAGCGUUUCCUAAUCUUUAAAUCCGCUCGUGAUGGGGAUUGACGGUUGCAAUUUUCUGUCAUGAACGAGGAAUACCUUGUAAGCGCGGGUCAUCAUCCCGCGCUGAAUACGUCCCUGCCCUUUGUACACACCGCCCGUCGCUCCUACCGAUUGAGUGGUCCGGUGAGGCUUUGGGAUCUGAGCGGAAAGAGCGGUUCGCUGUUUCUGCUCGGAAAACUCAGUCGAACCUUAUCAUUUAGAGGAAGGAGAAGUCGUAACA